CUACGGGCCGCAGCAGUGGGGAAUAUUGGACAAUGGGGGAAACCCUGAUCCAGCAAUGCCGCGUGUGUGAAGAAGGCCUGCGGGUUGUAAAGCACUUUCGGUUGGGAGGACUGCUUCUAGCACUAAUAUUGUUGGAAGUUGACGUUACCUUCAGAAGAAGCACCGGCUAACUCCGUGCCAGCAGCCGCGGUAAUACGGAGGGUGCAAGCGUGAAUCGGAAUUACUGGGCGUAAAGCGCGCGUAGGCGGCUAGAUUAGUCGGGUGUGAAAGCCCCGGGCUUAACCUGGGAACUGCAUCCGAUACUGUCUAGCUUGAGUACAGGAGAGGAGAGUGGAAUUCCACAUGUAGCGGUGAAAUGCGUAGAUAUGUGGAGGAACACCAAUGGCGAAGGCAGCUCUCUGGCCUGAUACUGACGCUGAGGUGCGAAAGCGUGGGGAGCAAACAGGAUUAGAUACCCCAGUAGUC
rnacentral:rRNA from 1 species